CCUACGGGUGGCAGCAGUCGAGAAUCAUUCACAAUGGGGGAAACCCUGAUGGUGCGACGCCGCGUGGGGGAAUGAAGGUCUUCGGAUUGUAAACCCCUGUCAUGUGGGAGCAAAUUAAAAAGAUAGUACCACAAGAGGAAGAGACGGCUAACUCUGUGCCGGCAGCCGCGGUAAUACAGAGGUCUCAAGCGUUGUUCGGAAUAACUGGGCGUAAAGCGCGCGUAUGCGGUUUCGUAAGUCGGAUGUGAAAGGCGCGGGCUCAACCCGCGGACUGCACAUGAUACUGCGAGACUAGAGUGAUGGAGGGGGAACCGGAAUUCUCGGUGUAGCAGUGAAAUGCGUAGAUAUCGAGAGGAACACUCGUGGCGAAGGCGGGUUCCUGGACAUUAACUGACGCUGAGGCACGAAGGCCAGGGGAGCGAAAGGGAUUAGAUACCCGAGUAGUC
rnacentral:rRNA from 1 species